UACAGAGGGUGCGAGCGUUGUUCGGAAUUAUUGGGCGUAAAGGGCGCGUAGGCGGUGCGGUAAGUCACCUGUGAAAUCUCCUGGCUCAACUGGGAGCUUGCAGGCGAAACUGCCGUGCUGGAGUGUGGGAGAGGAAAGCGGAAUUCCUGGUGUAGCGGUGAAAUGCGUAGAUAUCAGGAGGAACACCUGUGGUGUAGACGGCUUUCUGGACCAUAGCUGACGCUGAGACACGAAAGCGUGGGUAGCAAACAGG
rnacentral:rRNA from 1 species